CAUGGGGUUUCGGAUUACUCUCACUCCCUCACCAUCCCGCGAUUUUUUUUUCGCCCCACUGCGACUUGAUGAGCUUGUUCCUGCUCGCAUGGAGGCGGCAACAGCUCCAUAGAGAGAUGAUGACGAGGACAACAACAACAGCAAUAGCAACAGCAACAGCAACAACAAUAACAACAACAUCAUCAAAAACUUCAACAGUAGCAACAAUGACAUUGAUGGCGGCGGCCCCAACGAUAAAUCUCAACAAAUGACGGUGCAAAAAGUCGCUAUGCGUUAAGGGCGCCCGGGGGCGACAAUAAUAAUAACAACAACAGUAUCAACAGUAUACAGUGGUGGGCGUGGCAAGUGUGUAGGCGUCAGUGACAAUAAAACUUUUAAUCGGC